rnacentral:sRNA from 1 species
AAUUUAAUUCUGUUAUUACACACACGUAUCGUCACAUGCAACGGGGUGCUUUAACCGUCAGGUAGGAGUUAGUCGUAUGGGAUACGUGGAAGCAUAAC